UUGAGCAAACUUUAACAUACAAAAAAUCCUUGAAUAGUUUGUAAGACGUGUUUGAAACGAUCGAUUUUCCUUUUAAUUGGGGAAUUCAAUUCCAAUGAGAAGCCCUGUUAAAUUUGAAAUCAUCUCUUGAUUCACUCAGAGCAGUUGCCAGCUUCUUUAUCUCAGCCUUUUCGGGAGUGUUGCGUUGAUCCGUUGCAGCAUCAUCGCCUGGAGCCAUUCUCUGAAAUCUACUGGGUGUCCCUGCUUCUCCUUUAUAACUUUCAUCCUUCUCAUUAUAUGUUUGGCUGUCCACAGAUUGAUUGGCUGGAGACUGUUCCUCUGUCAUGCUCGGUGAUAGGCUACAACAUGAAUCUCUUCCGAUCAUGUCAUCGAUCGAACUUACGGAGAACGACACCCUUCUUCCAGAACUGCUGGGGCUUAUUGGAGCUCUAUCAGCAUUUACAACUUUGUGAGUUGCCAUGUCUAGAGGAGGAGGAAGACUCUUCGAGAUCCGCAGUGGAUGCCGGGGAAGAGUAAGAAUCCUCGGAAUCAAACUCGAUGCAGCUUAAGCUCUUCUCAUCUGCAUCACCGUUUCCAUACUCUAGUAUGAGUUGCUUUGCCAUCUUCUCUGACCUGGGGCUCAAGUUCUUGCUGAGAUCUUUCGCACCCAUCCUUCCAUGUGGCGGCUGAUAGUUUCUAAGCUCGUACCUAAGGCAAGCAUUGACCCAUUUCAGAUAAACAAGUUGUUCAACAUCGGCGCAUCGAUCAGUUUUCAUCUGUUCGAUUUCGUUUAUCAAAUUCUCAUUACAUUCCCUCGUUUUGUUGGCUUCCUC